UACGGAGGGUGCGAGCGUUGUCCGGAAUCACUGGGCGUAAAGAGCUUGUAGGCGGUUUGUCGCGUCUGCCGUGAAAUUUCGGGGCUCAACCUCGAACUUGCGGUGGGUACGGGCAGACUAGAGUGUGGUAGGGGAGACUGGAAUUCCUGGUGUAGCGGUGAAAUGCGCAGAUAUCAGGAGGAACACCGAUGGCGAAGGCAGGUCUCUGGGCCACUACUGACGCUGAGAAGCGAAAGCAUGGGGAGCGAACAGG
rnacentral:rRNA from 1 species